CAAAUUAGAGCUUUUAAGCAUUUUAUUUACAUUAAAAAGGAUAUCAUUAAAUUGAUAUAAUUUGA
rnacentral:tRNA from 1 species